AUGAAUUCAGAAUGUAUUGCUGCCACUGAGAAGUUACGUGUUGUCCUCAGAAACAAAGAUGACUCUCCAGCAUCUGUAUGGCAUAUGUAUUUUCAGAGGGAGAAUGGAUCUGUGCCAGUUCUCUGUUUGAACUUCUGGUUAAGAAGGUUAUAGUUUUGGCUGGCCUGAAUUAAAGGAACGGAAGUAGCACAAGUUUAGGUGACCUAUACCAAGUUCCCAGUGAGUCAUCAGUGAAACUGGCACAUGGAAUUCAGAGCUCUCCUCACUGACUUUUAUGUUCCAGCUGUUGGGAGACCAAGGGAUGUAAGUCAGAUGACCUACUUGCAAAUGACUGCAGAAAGAACAAAGAAGUUGCAGGCCCAUUCAAAUGGUGUCAAGGAUGAAUUAGCUCAGAAUAGUUCUGAAGAAAAGAAAACUAUCAAGGUCAAAGUGUGCACUGAAAUAUUGAUAAAUUCUCCUCUCUUAUUAAAUCAUUAA
rnacentral:lncRNA from 1 species